CAGCUCCAUCCGCCAAUCGGCUGCGGGCCCCUGCGCGGGCUCUGCCGCGGGACCCGGCCUGACCCUGCCCGGCCGUCAGCUCUCUGUAUCCUGCUGCCGCUUCUGCUCCGCGCCUCGCCUGCGCCCAGCCCCAAGAGUUCGGAGGUGCGGAGGUGCGGAGGAAGCUCUCUUGCUGGCCAGUUUCCAGGGUGCAGCAGCCGGAUUUGCAGAAAUGAAAUUUCCCCAUGGCUCUCCAUACCUCGUCCAGUGUUAAUGAAAUAACGGGGCACACCAGUGCACAGCUGUGGAGCUCAGAGCCGUGGAUGUGCUGGGGGCUGUUGACACUGCGAGCGGAGGCGGUGAAGGAAGGUUGGGGAGCUUCAAGAAACGUCUGCACAGAUUUGCUCCACUUUCUAAACGUGCGUGCUUUGGGCAUAUCCUGCGUGCCUGGACAGACAGCAUCUGAGUGGCCUGAAUACACUUAGAAAACCCAAGUCUUCAUUGCUUGUGUGAGCAUAGGUGCAGAGAUGUCUGCUUUGGAGGAGCAUCUGAUCAGAUAUGGGAUGUGGUGUGGGCCCAUGUUGUCUGCUGCCCUCCCCCAGCAAAUAUCUUGGUCUAAAUACAAAGACUUGCAGGAUUGAAAGCUUUCUUUCAGUAGAUUUUUCUUAUUUUGUUCCUAAACCGUGCAGGAUCUGCAGCAGCCCAUGGAAGGAGGGCAGCUGAGCACAGACUUAUCUCCUCAUGCUUACCUCUCAUCUUCCACUCUCUCCCCACUCCCCUGAGCUGUGCAGGUCUCUGCCCGGUGUCCCCAUUUUUCUCUUUUCUAUGCCAAAGAGCCUCAAUCCAUCACACACCCCACGUGCAGAACCUUGGAUCAUCCUGUUGCCCUUCUCUGCACAUUUUCCUGUUAUGCUGUACUCUUGGAAGGGGAGGACCAGGACCACAGACCAGGAUCUGGGUCUGACCCAGAGAACAGUGAUGUCUCUGAUGCAUUCUCUACCUUUUCCUAACCCUUCCCAAAUCAGUUUUGGCUGAGAAGUUUUGCAGUUUUGGCCUCCACUGAUUGCUGAGGGGACAUUUUCAUGGCUGUCAGAGCUCCUGGCCUCAGAGCCCAUCACUUUAGACACUGAGGUCAGGCUUUGUUUCCCCACGUGUGUCACUUCACUGACACUGGCUUUCAUCUUGCUUUAUUGCCAAGCUGCUCAAGCUCUCAGAAGUCCUCCUGCCAUUCUUAGCACUCAUCUGCAGUACCCAGAAUAAUUCAGUAUUAUUAGCAGAUUGCGUCACUUCUCCACUGAUCUAUCUCAGAGGAUCAGCUUGUGGAAAUGCAGGUGACCUCUCAGUUGGAUCUCUCUCAGGCACCUGCUGCUUUUUCCUUGAAAGCCACUAGCUUUGGAAGAAAGAAACCUCCUUUAAAAGAGCUGUGCUGACUCUUCCCCAGUAUGUCAUAUUUACCCAUCUGUCCCCUAACGAUGCCAGUUUUCUGCUCCUUAUGCCAGUUUUUGUUCAUUUGCAGAGAACAGAUGUGUCAUUUAUCAGUCUGUGGCUCCCUGGCUGCCUCCUUGGAAGCAGUUCUGGUGUUGCAGCUUCCCCCUCCCAGUCCCUCUGUCCCCUGCUGUACCCAGAGCUCAGGGGAAGCUCUGCAUGGUCAGCAAAUAUAUGGUCAUCUCUGCUUGUGUAGGUGGCUCCAAGAACAGAAGGAGCUGGAGGUACUACAGACAUUCAUGGGCUUUUAUUCAAAACUGUGGAAGAAGCACCUGAAGGUUCACAGGAUCACAUGCUCCCUGCAAUCCAGGGAGGUGCUGGUCUCAGUGCCUGACUCAAGUGAUGAUGGUGGCAAGUGUCAAAUGCUAAAUCCAGGCCCCACAUCACCUGUGGGUGAAUCCUCUUUUUGUGCCUCCUCCAGAGCAUGCAGGGGCAGAGAUGUUCCCCUUUGAGCCACCAAAAUCCCACAGCCAUAAAUUGGGCACCAAACCCAGGCCUCUGCUGCCUGUGGAACCUUCAGAAUGCUGGGCUGCAGCCACUUAAACUGGGCACCAAGGGCACCAAGGGAGCCACGGGGACCAUGCAACCUGGGCCCUUCCAGACCCAGACAAGGUCCCAUGUCCUGUUUUUGGCCUAGGAAGCAGAACAGGGCUCCCAUCCCCAGCUGCAGAUGAGCCUAAGGAGCGCUCAGACCUGCUGAAGCAGCUCCUCCCAUCAGCCAGGAGGGCAGAUAAGGGCUGAGGGCAUGCACAGGGCUGGCGGGGGCCCAGAAGGCUUUACCUGGCUUUCUCUUCCUGGUGCAUGCUUCAACCUGCUUGGGAAGCAUUUACACAGGAAAUGGUGAGAGAAAGGACCGUGCUGCCAGCCCUGGCCCAAAGGCAACAGGGAAGAGCUCCUGGAUCCUCUUGAGAUGGAGGCAGAUGGCAGGAGAUGGGAGCAGAGCUCCUACCAAGGCCUCACUAAGAUGACCUUCCAUCUCACCUCUUUUAGAACCCUGUGAGCCAAACAUCCCUUCUGCGCGGCCAUGAAGUGCUCACCUCCCAGUCAAAGGCUGCAAAUGGUGGCUCCACUGCCAUCUUCCCUGGGGCCCAAGGCAGCAUCCUGCCAGGAGCUCCUUGCCGUGGCUGCGUGAGGGAGCAGACAAAAUGUUGAGUCUGGCACACACGCAUGCUCCUGGUCCUCUCCCAUCUGUCAGCUCUGUGCCCCUUGCCAAGUCCUGCACGAGCAACGCUUCAUGACAGCCAUCUGUCACAGGGCCUGGCCAUGUGGCCUUGCAGAUGGAGUGGCAUCGAGGCCACGGAUGUGGCACCAGGGCUGAUCGCUGUGGUGCAGGCAUCAACCCUCUGUCCCAAUGUGCAUCAGAGAUGAUGGAUAUAAACACUUUGGGCACUGGAGCAAAAUCAGCCACAGCGAGACGCAGAUGGAGUUCAGCUUUGGCAGUGUGAAUGCAGAAAUCUGUAGCUGCUUCUUAGAGCCUGAAACACGCCACCAAGAAUGGAGAGAUGUCGCCUGUGUCCUGUCACGACUGCAGAAAAAAAAAGCAGCCUGUGCCUGUGCUGAGCCAUGUGGGGUGCAGAGCUCAGAGCACCCUUCAGAUCUCUCCCAGCACAAAGGCGUCUCCUGAGGGGCUCCCACCCGGCUCUGCCCUCCUCACCGCACACACCGUGCUGCUGUCGACCUGCUCUGGGCUCCUCCCUUAAAAAGGAAAAGCCAACACUGCUCGAAACUGAAGGCUCAGGUGGGUCCCGAGAUGCUCCUUUGCGAUGCCCCUGCAGCUGCCUCACCAAGGGGAGAUGCAAUGGGGUGGGAUGGAAAGGAACAGGCACUACCAUUCCUCCAGCAUGGCAGUAUUUUUAAAAAAGCUGCCGCCACAAGCUGGUCCCUCCUCCCAGAGGAUGCAGAGUGCGUGCUUUGCCAGCCUGAGGACUGAACCAGAGCCACUGGUAGCAGAUGUGGCUGAACAUCCUCCUUGGCUGCUACAGGCACUGGAAGUGCUGUCAUUCAUGUGCCAUCAGCCCUGCAUCCUGCUUCCUUCCCACCGCUGGACAGACAGAUUGAGAACCUGUCGUUUCUGUAUUUUAAUAACUAUUUCAUCAUCUCCAUCUGCCAGGAUUUAGCGUGUGCCCGACCUCAAAUGCUGCCUUGCGCUCAACCUGUGCGUGGCAGGCAGCUUUUCUCCUGAAGUCUUUUGUAUCCCAUAUUCUCUGAAUACAGAUACACUCUGAAUUUCCUAAUCUUGACUGCUGGGUGCUGCCUGGUUGGGAAUCUGGAAGGGUUUCGCGGGUAGAAGCAAGCAGUGUGAGCUACAGCUUUCCAAACAGCCUCCCCAGAGAACGGGCACCACUCAGCGCAGCCUUCCCAUACAUUCAAGUUGCCCCCACCUCUCCCUCGCCGCCACCCCGGCGGCUCUUCCACCCGUGCCGAGGAGAGCGGGGGCA